CACGUAGGGGCCAAGCGUUGUCCGGAUUUAUUGGGCGUAAAGAGCUCGUAGGUGGCUUAGUAAGUCGGGUGUGAAACCUCCAGGCUCAACCUGGAGACGCCACCCGAUACUGCUAUAGCUUGAGUCCGGUAGGGGAGCGUGGAAUUCCUGGUGUAGCGGUGAAAUGCGCAGAUAUCAGGAGGAACACCAGCGGCGAAGGCGGCGCUCUGGGCCGGUACUGACACUGAGGAGCGAAAGCGUGGGGAGCAAACAGG
rnacentral:rRNA from 1 species